rnacentral:rRNA from 1 species
GACGAACGCUGGCGGCGUGCCUAAUACAUGCAAGUCGAGCGCAGGAAACUGACGGAACUCUUCGGAGGGAAGGCAGUGGAAUGAGCGGCGGACGGGUGAGUAACACGUAAGGAACCUGCCUCAAGGAUUGGGAUAACUCCGAGAAAUCGGAGCCAAUACCGGAUAGUUCAACGGACCGCACGGUCCGCUGAUGAACGGCGCUCCGGCGUCCCCCUGAGAUGGCCUUGCGGUGCAUUAGCUCGUUGGGGGGGUAACGGCUCGCCAAGGCGACGAUGCAUAGCCGACCUGAGAGGGUGAUCGGCCACACUGGGACUGAGACACGGCCCAGACUCCUACGGGAGGCAGCAGUAGGGAAUCUUCCACAAUGGACGAAAGUCUGAUGGAGCAACGCCGCGUGAGUGAUGAAGGUUUUCGGAUCGUAAAACUCUGUUGUAAGGGAAGAACACGUACGAGAGGAAAUGCUCGUACCUUGACGGUACCUUACGAGAAAGCCACGGCUAACUACGUGCCAGCAGCCGCCGUAACAC